CCUACGGGAGGCUGCAGUUAGGAAUCUUGGGCAAUGGGCGAAAGCCUGACCCAGCAACGCCGCGUGGGUGAUGAAGGCCUUCGGGUCGUAAAGCUCUUUUCCCGGGGAAGAUGAUGACGGUACCCGGGGAAUAAGCCCCGGCUAACUACGUGCCAGCAGCCGCGGUAAUACGUAGGGGGCGAGCGUUGUCCGGAUUUAUUGGGCGUAAAAGGCUUGUAGGCGGCCACAUCGCGUCGGACGUGAAAUCUCCCGGCUCAACUGGGAGGGGUCGUGCGAUACGGAUGGGCUCGAGGCCGGUAGGGGGACGCGGAAUUCCCGGUGUAGUGGUGGAAUGCGUAGAUAUCGGGAGGAACACCAGUGGCGCAGGCGGCGUCCUGGACCGGCACUGACGCUGAGGAGCGAAAGCGUGGGGAGCGAUCCGGAUUAGAUACCCUAGUAGU
rnacentral:rRNA from 1 species